AGACGUUGGAAAUUUAUUUUCAGCGUCGCAGGGAAACCGAUAAACACACCGCCUGGGGAGUACGACCGCAAGGUUAAAACUCAAAUGAAUUGACGGGGACCCGCACAAGUAGUGGAGCAUGUGGUUUAAUUCGAAGAUACGCGCAGAACCUUACCAACACUUGACAUGUUCGUCGCGACUCUAAGAGAUUAGAGUUUUCGGUUCGGCCGGACGAAACACAGGUGCUGCAUGGCUGUCGUCAGCUCGUGUCGUGAGAUGUUGGGUUAAGUCCCGCAACGAGCGCAACCCUCACUUUUAGUUGCCAUCAUUAAGUUGGGCACUCUGAAAGAACUGCCAGUGAUAAGCUGGAGGAAGGUGGGGAUGACGUCAAGUCCUCAUGGCCCUUACGUGUUGGGCUACACACGUGCUACAAUGGCAUCUACAACAGGAAGCAAAACGGCAACGUUAAGCAAAUCCCGAAAAGAUGCCUCAGUUCGGAUUGCACUCUGCAACUCGAGUGCAUGAAGCUGGAAUUACUAGUAAUCGUGGAUCAGCGUGCCACGGUGAAUGCGUUCCCGGGUCUUGUACACACCGCCCGUCACACCAUGGGAGUUGGUUCUACCUUAAGGCAAGGUUUUAAACCCUUGACCACGGUAUAGUCAGCGACUGGGGUG
rnacentral:rRNA from 1 species